rnacentral:rRNA from 1 species
AUGACCACGACCACGUGGAUUGCGUCAUCUAGUAUAUCUCAAUGGAUUUUGCUUUUAUUGUUUCCAUGUUACUCGGUGUUACAUUUUGUUUCUUGCCUGACCACCAUUUUCUUUGGCAUAUCCUACGUUUAUGGAAUACUGAAUAAUGUUGUUGAUGAAGCUCAAGCAAGCUAUGCUACUGAGAUUAAUGCAGUCCUUCAUGAUGACAAUUCAGUUAGUGUAACUGACAAUUGCCGUGGGGUAUGCAGUUCCUAA